rnacentral:rRNA from 1 species
AACGAACGCUGGCGGCAUGCCUAACACAUGCAAGUCGAACGAGACGUCCGGGCCUUUUGGCGCACGGGUGCGUAACGCGUGGGAACUUGCCCUUAGGUUCGGUAUAACUCCCUGAAAGGGAUCCUAAUACCGGUUAAUGUCUUCGGACCUAAGAUUUAUGGCCUUUGGAUGGGCCCUCGUUGGAUUAGCCAGUUGGUAGGGUAAAAGCCUACCAAGGCGUGGAUCCAUAGCUGGUAGGUGAGGAUGACCAUCCACGCUUGGGCUAAGACACGGCCCAGACUCCGACGGGAGGGAGCAGUGUGGAAUAUUGGACGCUGGACGAAAGCGUGAUCCAGCAGUGCCGCGUGAGUGAUGAAGGCCUUAGGGUUGUAAAGCUCUUUUAGCCGAGAUGAUAGUGACAGUACCGGGAGAAGAAGCUCCGGCUAACUCCGUG